AACAUGCUCCCUUAGAUCCACCUUUAUGGGUGCCCAUUUACAUGGUUUAUGUUAAUUGCAUUUCAUGUAAAGGCAUUGACAUUUCCUGUUAAGGCAUCCAGCAACUUUUUGGUUGUAUAGUUGAAGGUGCUUGAGUCAUUGGCAUGUUAGAUUAAUACACCUGCAUGCUUGCUUUUUUCAUUGUGAUGGCCAUGGCUGCAUUCUUGUAGACCAUAUCUUUCCAUCAGGAUGUAGCUAGUAUGCGGACAAU